UACGGAGGGUGCAAGCGUUAUCCGGAUUUACUGGGUUUAAAGGGUGCGUAGGUGGCCCUGUAAGUCAGUGGUGAAAUAUGGCAGCUCAACUGUCAGGGUGCCAUUGAUACUGCAGAGCUUGAGUACAGAUGAGGUAGGCGGAAUUGACGGUGUAGCGGUGAAAUGCUUAGAUAUCGUCAAGAACACCGAUAGCGAAGACAGCUUACUGGGCUGUAACUGACGCUGAGGCACGAAAGUGUGGGGAUCAAACAGG
rnacentral:rRNA from 1 species